AUUGAACGCUGGCGGCAUGCCUAACACAUGCAAGUCGAACGAGUGGCGGACGGGUUAGUAAUGCACGGGCACCUAGCCUAUGGAUGGGGAUAACUACGGGAAACUGUAGCUAAUACCGCGUACCAUAGGAGGAGCCCAAGUGGGAUUAGGUAGGUGGUGGGGUAAAGGCUCACCAAGCGACGAUCUCUAGCUGGUCGGAGAGGAUGACCAGCCACACUGGGACUGAGACACGGCCCAGACUCCUACGGGAGGCAGCAGUGGGGAAUAUUGCGCAAUGGGGGCAACCCUGAUGCAGCCAUGCCGCGUGUGUGAAGAAGGCCUUCGGGUUGUAAAGUACUUUCGGUAGCGAAGCGUUAACUACAGAAGAAGCACCGGCUAACUACGUGCCAGCAGCCGCGGUAAUUC
rnacentral:rRNA from 1 species